rnacentral:rRNA from 1 species
CAAUGGGCGCAGCCUGAUGCAGCCAUGCCGCGUGUAUGAAGAAGGCCUUCGGGUUGUAAAGUACUUUCAGCGGGGAGGAAGGUGUUGAGGUUAAUAACCUCAGCAAUUGACGUUACCCGCAGAAGAAGCACCGGCUAACUCCGUGCCAGCAGCCGCGGUAACACGGAGGGUGCAAGCGUUAAUCGGAAUUACUGGGCGUAAAGCGCACGCAGGCGGUCUGUCAAGUCGGAUGUGAAAUCCCCGGGCUCAACCUGGGAACUGCAUUCGAAACUGGCAGGCUAGAGUCUUGUAGAGGGGGGUAGAAUUCCAGGUGUAGCGGUGAAAUGCGUAGAGAUCUGGAGGAAUACCGGUGGCGAAGGCGGCCCCCUGGACAAAGACUGACGCUCAGGUGCGAAAGCGUGGGGAGCAAACAGGAUUAGAUACCCUGGUAGUCCACGCCGUAAACGAUGUCGACUUGGAGGUUGUGCCCUUGAGGCGUGGCUUCCGGAGCUAACGCGUUAAGUCGACCGCCUGGGGAGUACGGCCGCAAGGUUAAAACUCAAAUGAAUUGACGGGGAAUCGAAUUCCCGCGGCCGCCAUGGCGGCCGGGAGCAUGCGACGUCGGGCCCAAUUCGCCCUWGGGGRNRNNCS